UGGGGAGGCUCACGAGAGGCUGGAAGUGCAGCCACAGGGAUGGAGAAUGCUUUAACUGCUGCCUUUAAUUUGUACGCUUCUUUGUUUCAUCCAACAGCCUGCCUGUGUGUCGCCUUUCAAGUGAUUUCCCUUGCUGUUUUCGCUAACACAACUUUAUCCCUGCUGGAGAGGCUGUUGAGCACUGAUGGGGAGAGGUGAAGGCCUGCACCAGCCCUUGCCCAGCAAUGGGCCCAGCCGUUGGAGCAGGGCUGUAAAAGCAGAUAAAUGAGCUUGCUGGGUAAAUUGGGGAACAUUCUGCAAAGAUUUCAAGUCAAAUACUACUGGUGCGGUCACUGUUGCCUCACAGUCACCAGGCUGGAGCAGCCAUAGGUUGGUCUCAGUGACUCCAGCUGGGCAGCCUCCAGUUUGGACAAGCAAGACUACCAAAAGACUAAAAAUUGGCCGUGUGAAUAUGCUCGUGGCCACUUACAGGAGUGGGGAGCUCUGCCUGACUGCCUCCUGGCUGCAGAAGCAUUUGCUCCAAAGCAAAUCUGUGCAAGUCUCUAAAGAUGACUAUAACUUGAAUGGUAACUAAAAGGAAAUAGGCUGACAAAAUGCAACAGGACUCAGAGAAGGUUUGCAUAUAGUUAUUUUAUAGGCUUGCCUGCCUAGCAAGCGCUUUGCACUGCAUAUUGCACUGCUCUUCUAUGUGUCCGUGUUUCAUUAUAGAUUUGCCAUUUCUAAACAUGUAAAAAUAGGAUGUGCUGGUGUGGUUUAAAUGGUGCUAAGAGCACCACAGAGAGGCACAGUGAUAGCUGUGUGGGAAAUGAGAGAAGAGAGGAAUUCUCCUGAGCAAAGAGCAAUAUCAAGCAAAUGCUGAACUGACAACCUCUGCUGCUGAGACUGAAAUGCUCUGGCAAGAAGCCACCAGCACGUAUAUCCAUACAGCAAUGAACAGCCCCUCAGCGGAGAGCGCAUCGGGAAUGUAUUCAGCACGUAAAGCAUCAGCUGUAUGAAACACUGCAGACAAGAUAAUCCUGCUGUUUUAUCUAUCUGAGUGUUGAGAAACAGUUAAUGAAAUACAGGAGGCCGAGGAUCUCAGCAUCACAGAAGGAUGUUACUGGUGUGGGACUGGUAUAUGGUCAAACCAGUGCUGGCUGUAGAGACCCAGAGCCUGUUUUUAAUGCUGCCAGAGACCUCAGCAGCAGCACAUGUUGGAUUUAUCAGCCUUUAUGAGAUAUGGCACUGCAGAAAUUGGUCUGAGACUGCCGGACUAUUUACUACCGCUAUACCAGAAUAAUUCUUAUGCUUAUUCCCUGUUCUGAAUACAUCCAAAACUGAACUUCCCAGGUGAAGUUGCACUGAUUUAAAUCCAGCCAUAAAUCUGUUGCCCCUUACUGAGCCACUCAUUUCUUUUUUACUGUUUUUGAAGGGCAGGGAAAAAAGAAUCUAUUUGGUGCAGGGAAAAUGAAAGCAAUUUUCCAAACUCCUCAGCGAGAGAGAAAAAUAUUUUCACACAUUUGUCCAUAUGCAUUAAGCAGAUCUCCAGCCAUUUUACACUGUGCCAUCCCUUCAUCUGGCUCUGUUUUCGGUUUGGUUUUAUUUCUCAGAGGUUUUUAUUUCUCCCCUGUCCUCUCUUUAAUUUUCCCCCCAGCCUCUUGCAUAAGGAUGAGAAGGAGCCUGGUUUACUUGUCCCCUCCUAAGUGGGGAGAGCAAACAAAACAAAGCCAAGUCCCUGUGCAUCUCACUUAUCAGAAUGUUCCAUCACUGCACCUGGCUGCACUGCCUGCUUCUCUCUCUAUCCUUGAGCUGCAGCAGUGAGAGCUGACAUUGUUCUCCUCUGGGAAGUAGGGAGGAGAAAUAAUUCCCCAGCACGAUGAUUUUGGAAAGCCUUCCUGAAUCAUUUUAAGCUUGUUUUUGGCUUCCACUGUUUUCCCAUUAAGCAAUUUUUUUUGGGUAAUUCCCUUCCAUGAAUAGGAGGUUGUAUCAUCCAGUGCUUCACUUCUUCACAGCUUCCAUUCUCUCAGCCUUUGGACCAGGAAAAAGAAUAGGCUUUUGGUAACCAGCGUGUAGAAAUCUUUACGUUUGUUUUGCUGGUUUGCAGCAAUAAAAAAGAGGUUUUCAUACUGUAA